AGAGCGAACGCUGGCGGCAGGCUUAACACAUGCAAGUCGAGCGCCCCGCAAGGGGAGCGGCAGACGGGAGAGUAACACGUGGGAACGUACCUUUCGGUUCGGAACAACCCAGGGAAACUUGGGCUAAUACCGGAUACGUCCGUAAGGAGAAAGAUUUAUCGCCGAAAGAUCGGCCCGCGUCUGAUUAGCUAGUUGGUGAGGUAACGGCUCACCAAGGCGACGAUCAGUAGCUGGUCUGAGAGGAUGAUCAGCCUCACUGGGACUGAGACACGGCCCAGACUCCUACGGGAGGCAGCAGUGGGGAAUAUUGGACAAUGGGCGCAAGCCUGAUCCAGCCAUGCCGCGUGGGUGAUGAAGGCCCUAGGGUUGUAAAGCCCUUUCGGCGGGGAAGAUAAUGACGGUACCCGCAGAAGAAGCCCCGGCUAACUUCGCGCCAGCAGCCGC
rnacentral:rRNA from 1 species